rnacentral:rRNA from 1 species
UACGAAGGGGGCUAGCGUUGCUCGGAAUCACUGGGCGUAAAGGGUGCGUAGGCGGGUCUUUAAGUCAGGGGUGAAAUCCUGGAGCUCAACUCCAGAACUGCCUUUGAUACUGAAGAUCUUGAGUUCGGGAGAGGUGAGUGGAACUGCGAGUGUAGAGGUGAAAUUCGUAGAUAUUCGCAAGAACACCAGUGGCGAAGGCGGCUCACUGGCCCGAUACUGACGCUGAGGCACGAAAGCGUGGGUAGCGAACAGG